CCUACGGGCGGCAGCAGUGAGGAAUAUUGGUCAAUGGGCGCGAGCCUGAACCAGCCAAGUCGCGUGAGGGAAGACGGUCCUAUGGAUUGUAAACCUCUUUUGUCGGGGAGCAAAAGACGCUACGCGUGGCGUUCCGAGAGUACCCGAAGAAAAAGCAUCGGCUAACUCAGUGCCAGCAGCCGCGGUACUACGGGGGAUGCGAGGGUUAUCGGUAUUUAUUGGGGUUAAAGGGUGCGCAGGCGGAACAUCAAGUCAGCGGUAAAAUUGAGUGGCUCAACCUCUUCGAGCCGUUGAAACUGGUUGUCUUGAGUGAGUGAGAAGUAUGCGGAAUGCGUGGUGUAGCAGUGAAAUGCAUAGAUAUCACGCAGAACUCCGAUUGCGAAGGCAGCAUACCGGCGCUCAACUGACGCUCAUGCACGAAAGUGUGGGUAUCGAACAGGAUUAGAUACCCCAGUAGUC
rnacentral:rRNA from 1 species